CAGGAAGAUUACAUCCACCCCGACACCCUUGUCCAGGGACUUUGUGACCUGAUCAUAAAAAGAAACCAGGUUAGUCAGGCAGGACCUGCCCUCAGUGCUCAGUUGGUUGCCCCUGAGCAUUACCUCCCCUGCUGGGCCCUUGGAGAUGUGCUUCAUGAUAAUUUUCUCAAAGGUCUUCCCAAGGACCGUGGUAAGACUGACUGGCCUAUAAUUGCUGGGGUCCUCCUUUCUCCCCUUUUUGUAAAUGGGAACCACAUUGGACCUUUUCCAUUUCUCUGGUACCUGGCCAGUGCCCUAUGAGCACUCAGAGCUGUACCAGGGGCCUGCUAUGACCCCUACCAAUUCCCUCAGCACUCUCGGGUGAAGAGCAUCUGAACCUACUGAUUUAAACAUGUCUAGCCCCUCCAAAAGUUCCCUAACCAAGUUGUCUCUGACCCUAGGCAUGGUGGUGCCUCCCCUGGGUCUGUCUGCAGUUCUAGUGGGGGAAAUGUUCCAGUUCCUGUUCAGGAAUAUGGAGGCAAAGAAUUCAUUAAAGAGGUCAGCUUUUUCAUUUGCCACAAUCACUAGAUUGCCAAGCCUAUCCUGUAGGGGUCCCACGUUACCCAGUGCCUUCUUCUUACUUCCUAUGUAUUUGAAAAAUGACUUUUUAUUAUCGUUGAUUCUGGUCACUAGCCCUAGCUCCAUCUCAGCCUUGGCUUUCCUAGCAGCUUCCUUGCGCUCCCGAGCAACAGAGGUGUAAUCCUCCUUGGUGAUAGCCCCUUGCUUCCACUAUUUGUACACCUCCUUUUUUUGCCCCCAGGCAAAGCCAUGCCUGGGGGCAAUGCCUUUGCUAAGCCAUGGGGGCUUCUUAGGACUCCUUCCCCCCUUGGUGUGCAUUGGGACUAACUCAUGGGCAGGAUACCCAUGGGCAGGGAACUCAUGGCCAGUCUGAAAGGAGAGGAGUCCAGGAGAGCUGGCUGUACUUUAAAGAAUUCUUACUGAGAGGGCAGGAACAAACCACCCUGAUGCACAGGAAGACUAACUUGGUUUAUCAGGGAACCCUAUAAUAAGUAGAAACUUGGACAAAUAACUAGGGAGGAAUAUAACAUCAUUGCUCAGGCAUGCAGGGAUGAAAUCAGGAAGGCCAAAGUGCAAUUGGAGUUGCAGCUAAUAAGGGAUGUUAAGGUAACAAGAAGGGUUUCUACAAGUAUGUUGGUAGCAAGAGGAGGAUCAGGAAAAGUGUGGGUCCCUUACUGAAUAGUGAGGCAACCUUGUGAAAGAAGUUGUAGAAAAGGCUCAAGUGUACAAUGCCUGUUUUUCCUCAGUCUUCACAGGCAAGGUCAGCUCCCACACUACUGCACUGGGCAGCACAGUUUGGGGAGGAGGUGCACAGCCUUCAGUGCUGAAAGAACAGGUUAGGGACUGAUUAGAAAAGCUGGAUGUGUACAAGUCCAUGGGCCUGGAUGGGAUGCUGAAGGAGUUGGCUGAUGUUAUUGCAGAGCCAUUGGCCAUCGUCUUUGAAAACUCAUGGUGAUCAGGAGAGGUCCCGGAUGAUUGGAAAAGGGCAAACAUAGUGUCCAUAUUUAAGAAAGAGGAAAAAAGGAGGAUCCAGGGAACAAGAGAUUAGACAAUCUCACCUCAGUCCCUUGGAAGAUCAGAAGGUGAUUAGUUACAGUCAGUAUGGAUUUCCCAAGGGUAAGACAUGCUUGACCAACCUGAUUGCCUUCUAUGACAAGGUGACUGGCUCUGUGGAUGCAGGGAGACCAGUGGAUAUGGUAUACUUUGAUUUUUAGCAAGGCUUUUGAUAUGGUCUCCCACAGCAUUCUUGUAGGCAACCUAAGGAAGUACAGGCUGGAUGAAUGGACUGUAAGGUGGUUAGAAACUGGCUGAAGCGUUGGGCUCAGAGGGUUGAAAUCAAUGGCUCAAUGUCUAGUUGGCAGCUGGUAUCAAGUGAAGUUCCCAGGGGUAAGUCCUGGGGCCAGUUUUUUUCAAUGUCUUCAUUAAUGACCUGGAAGAUGGCAUAGAGUGCACCCUCAGCAAGUUUGAAGAUGACACCUAAUUGGGGAAGUAGUAGAUAUGCUGGAGGGUAGGGCUAGGAUUCAGAGUGUCUUAGACAAAUUGGAAGAUUGAGCCAAAAGGAAUCUCAUGAGGUUAAACAAGGACAAGAGUAAGCACUGCACUUAAGACGAAACAAUCCCAUGCACCAGUACAUUUUGGGGGCUGACUGGCUGGGCAGCAGCUCUGCAGAAAAGGACCUGGGAGUUACAGUGGACAAUAAGCUGAAUAUAAGCCAACAGCAUAUCUUUGUUGCAAAGAAGGCUAACGGCAUACCAGGCUGCAUUGGUAGGUAUGUUGCCAGCAGGUCAAGGGAAGUGAUUAUUCCCCUCUAUUCAGCACUGGUGAGGCUACAUCUAGAGUACUGUGUUUGGUUUUGGGGCCUCCACUACAGAAAAGAUAUGGACAAAUUGGAAAGUGUCCAGAGGAGGGCAACAGAAAUGGUGAGGGGGCUGGGGAACAUGACUUAUGAGGAAAAAAUGAGGGAACUGGGCUUAUUUCAUCUAGAGAAGACUGGGGGGGUGGGGGGCGGGAUUUAAUAGCAGCCUUAAACUACCUCAAGUGGGGUUUGAAAGAGGAUGGAGCUAAACUGUUCUCAGUGGUGGCAGAUGACAGAACAAGGAGCAACGGUCCCAAGUUGCAGCAAGAGAUGUUUAGGCAUUAGGAAUUAGGCAUUAGACUCCUCUCCCAUUUAGAAUAUUAGGAAGACUUUUCUCACUAGGAGGGUAGUAAAACAUUGGAACAGGUUACCCAGAGAGGUUGUGAAAUCUCCAUCCUUGGAGGUUUUUAAGACUCAGCUAGACAAAGCUUUGGCUGGGAUGAUCUAGUUGGGGAUGAUUCUGCUUUGAGCAGGGGGUUGGACUAGAUGAUCUCCUGAGGUCCCUUCCAACCCUAAUUUUCUAUGAUUCUAUGAAGAGCAAGAGAUACAUUGUGCAUCACCUUUGAACGUAGGAGCCAUUUUUAAAGCAUGCUUGUGCACACCAUUGUUGCAUGCCUUCUUCAUAUGUAUACGUAGUUCUGUAAGGAAUUUACCCUGCUUCAUGUAUCCUUUCAGCAGGGUUUUCACUAUGGCACAUUUUUAGAUUUAAUUAGAGUUCAUGUGUGGAUUUUACUCCGGGAGAUUCUGGCCAUUUCAAAGGCUUGUGCACAACUCAAACUAUGAAGGUAAAGACUUCUUCAAUGAGCUUUUAAUAAAUAACAGUGAAUAACUACUGAAUAUGAAGAAAAGAAAUAAAAUGAUUGAAUGUACAGAAUGCUGCACAAAGUUCAGCGUUAUUAAAGAAUGCAAACAGGCAAAUGUGCACAAACACACUGGGUUGUCUCUCUCUCUCUUCCUCUUUCUCCUACUGAUGCCAUGGGGAAAUAAAGAGAAAAAAUAACAGCCUAUUGUCCAAGAUGUUGUCUCUGUGUCAGCAGUGAGGGGGCACUCAGUGCGACUGCUGAAGCAGGCAGGGGAUGGGGCUGGGUGGGGGUCCCCCCAUGAUCCCCCCCACCAGCCCCUACUUACUGUCAUGGAGCCCAGGUCUAGCUCCCUGCAGUGGAGAGCAGGGACUGCCCAGAUCUCCAAAAUCUCUCUUGAGCUCUCCAAAUCUUUUUUUGAAUUGAUUUGGAGAACUUCGAAUUGAUUUGGACCUUAUUAUUGGUUUCCCCAGGGGCGACACAUAGGGGGUGUAUGUGCAUGCAUGUGCACCCCCUGUGCAUGGCGGUGCACCCCUGCAAAAAGGUGUUUGCGAGCAGGCUAUGAUUGUCCCUUGUCACCGCCGGUGCCAGCAGGUGGUUGGCGCUUGCCACCCCCUCCGCUACCGACAGUGCCAGCAGUGUCUGCGGGAGCCCCCAGCCUUGGGGAUAUACGCUGUUCAUGGGUCUCCUGAUUCAAUUCGGAGUCAGAGAUUCAGCUGCUGAAUUAGGCUGAAUCUCCUCCAGAUUGAAUCAGCAUCUGAAGCUCCACACUGUCCUAGAAGACAUGUGACAGGACACUGGGGCUGGGGAGCUGAGACUUGUGACAACCUAUAGAAAGGGCUAAUAAGCUGCAGACUAUAUUAGUAAUUAACUGUCUAUGUGUUUCUGCAGAUAUAGUCCUUUAUUUAGAGGAUGUUACCUUCAGGAGAGGAGGAAACCUCUGGAGAGGAGGCAACUCCAUACUCUUCACACUCUGAACAGGUCAAAGAAGCUGAGCAGACCCAGAGGAGGAAACAUCAAGUGAUCAUCCUAGGUGACUCCAUCCUGAGAAGUACAUAGGGUCCCAUCUGUCACCAGGAACCCUUGACACGUGAGGUCUACUGCCUGCCCGGAGCAAAGAUUCAGGACAUGAUGGGGAUGAUCCAGGCCAUGAUCCAGCCCACCGAUUACUACCCCAUGGUCCUAAUCUAUGUGGGCACUAAUGAUGCGGCCAGGAGAAGCCCUGAUCUCCUGAUGACGGACUACCAUGCUCUGGGGGGCAUGCUGAGGAAGAUAGGAGCACAGAUGGUAUUCUCUUCUGACCUAACAGUGAGCAGACGUAGAAGGCAACACGAGACCUGCAUCAGAGAGAUCAACUGGAGGCUUCGGGAAUGGUGUCUUGAGCCGGGCUUCGACUUCCUAGACAACAAUCCACACAUCAGGAUGCGAGAUGUGCUCAGGUGGGAUGGGCUCCACCUUUCCCCAAAAGGGAAGGAGAAGGCUGUCAAGUGGUAGCUGCUGAAAAGGUUCCAGCUGCAUUGACUGAAGAGCUUGACAGACGCUGAACUACGGUAUAUAGCCAAAGUGUGGACCAAGGCAAGAGGUUUGGGGUGCUUUUUACCAAGUCGCUGAUGAAGAUGUUGAACACCGUGGGCCCAAGAACCGAGCCCUGGGGAACCCCACUGCCCACAUCCCUCCAGGUCGAAUAAGACCUGUCCACCAUCACUCUCUGGGUGUGGCCCUCCAGCCAAUUAGUGACUCAUCUGACUCUGUAGGUAUCGACGCCACAGUCUCCUAGUUUUUUAAUGAGAAUGGGAUGAGAGUCAGUGUCGAAGGCCUUCCUAAAGUCCAGAAAGAUUAUGUCCACCAUGAGACCUACGUCAUAGAAGGCCACCAGGUUGGUCUGAUAGGACAUGCCUCUAAUGAACCCAUGUUGGUUGCCCCUAAGCAUAAUCUCCCCUGUUGGCCCCUCGCAGACAUGCGCCAGGAUAAUUUUCUCAAAAAGCUUACCCAGGACUGAGGUAAGACUAACUGGCCUAUAGUUUCCUGGGUUGUCCUUCCUUCCUUUUUUUGAAAAUGGGAACCACAUUGACCCUUUUCCAGUGUUCUGGCAAAAUGCCAGAGCACCACGAGUGCUUGUAAAGCCAUGCCAGGGGUCCUAUAAUGACCUUUGCUAAUUCCCUCAGCACUCUGGGGUGAAGAUCAUCAGGACCUGCUGAUUUAAAGAUGUCCAGUUCCUUCAGAAGUCCUGACUAGGUCCUCUCUUACCCUAGGUCUGGGUUUGCCUCCCAUGGGGCCUACGGGGGUACGGGGGGGAUGACCCGGUCCCUGCUCAGAAAAAUAGAGGCAAAGAAAUUGUUAAAUAGGUUAGCUUUGCUGUCUGGUGUGACAACCAGAUUUCCUAGCAUGCCAUGCAGAGGCCCCAUGUUACCCGGUACCUUCUUUUUACCCCCUAUGUAUUUAAAAAAGGACUUCUUGUUGUCCUUGAUCUGGGUAGCUAGUCCCAGUUCCAUCUCUGCCUUGGCCUUCCUACUGCCCUGCUAAAGCCCCGAGCAACAGAGGUAUAGUCCUCCCUGGUGAUGGCCCCUCCCUUCCAUUGGGUGUACGCCUCCUUUUUAGCUAGGAAACAUUCCUGGAUGUUUUUGGUAAGCCAUGGGGGCUUUUGUGCCCUCUUGCCCCCUUUGAUCCGUGUUGGGAUUACCUCCCUUUGGGCUUGGAGGAUCAUCUCCUUAAGGAACGACUACUCUUCUUGGACACCCAACUCCCCUCCCUUCCGGGACCUCAGUGUCUCCUCGACUAUUCUCCUUACCUCAUUGAAAUCCAUCCUCCUGAAGUCCAGGGCUGCUGUCUUGCUGCAGGCCUUUGCCACCUUGCACUGGACAGUGAAUUCCAGCAGGUGAUGAUCACUGUCGCCCAGGUGGUCGAGCACCCGCAGCCCCCCCACCAGGUUGUUGCCCAUGGCCAGGACCAGAUCCAACAAGGCGUCUCCCCUGGUGGGGCUGUGCACCUCCUAGGUUAGACAGAGGUCCUGUAUCUUGGCUAUGAACGUACGUGAGCAGUCAGACCUGACUCACCGGUCAUUUCAUAGCCACCAUCCAACUUUAGGUUGCAUGUUGAAAUUGCUUCAUAGUGUAAUAAGUACUUCAUAUUCUUUGUGAUAUUAUAUAUUUGUAACACAGACUUUAGAACAUCAGAGGUCUUUAUAAAGACUAUAUUAUAUCAAUUAACUUAUAUGGAACCAGAAAUUAAAGACAA